rnacentral:tRNA from 1 species
GCCUUUGUGGUGUAGUAGUCAGCACCCUCGACGAGUAUUCGAGAGGUCGUAGGUUCGAGUCCUGGCGAGGGCA